rnacentral:rRNA from 1 species
AUUGAACGCUGGCGGCAGGCUUAACACAUGCAAGUCGAGCGGGGUGAUGGUGCUUGCACUAUCACUUAGCGGCGGACGGGUGAGUAAUGCUUAGGAAUCUGCCUAUUAGUGGGGGACAACAUCUCGAAAGGGAUGCUAAUACCGCAUACGUCCUACGGGAGAAAGCAGGGGAUCACUUGUGACCUUGCGCUAAUAGAUGAGCCUAAGUCGGAUUAGCUAGUUGGUGGGGUAAAGGCCUACCAAGGCGACGAUCUGUAGCGGGUCUGAGAGGAUGCACCGCCACAAUGGGCUUGAGGCGCGGCCCAGACUCCUACGGAAGGCAGCAGUGGGGAAUAUUGGACAAUGGGGGGAACCCUGAUCCAGCCAUGCAGCGUGUGUGAAGAAGGCCUUAUGGUUGUAAAGCACUUUAAGCGAGGAGGAGGCUCUUUUGGUUAAUACCCAAGAUGAGUGGACGUUACUCGCAGAAUAAGCACCGGCUAACUCUGUGCCAGCCGCCGCAGUAAAAC